rnacentral:pre_miRNA from 1 species
UCUUACGGAUCAGCGAAAAAAGUGGUUUCUUAAGAUGGAAUCUACUCCUGGUGAAGAUCCUGUGAA